rnacentral:rRNA from 1 species
GACGAACGCUGGCGGCGUGCCUAAUACAUGCAAGUUGAACGCCUCUUUCUUAUCGAACUUCGGUUCACCAAGAAAGAAGAGUAGCGAACGGGUGAGUAACACGUGGGUAACCUGCCAUCAGCGGGGGAUAACACUUGGAAACAGGUGCUAAUACCGCAUAAUACUUUUUCUCUCAUGAGUGAAAGUUGAAAGGCGCUUUUGCGUCACUGAUGGAUGGACCCGCGGUGCAUUAGCUAGUUGGUAGGGUAACGGCCUACCAAGGCAACGAUGCAUAGCCGACCUGAGAGGGUGAUCGGCCACACUGGGACUGAGACACGGCCCAGACUCCUACGGGAGGCAGCAGUAGGGAAUCUUCGGCAAUGGACGAAAGUCUGACCGAGCAACGCCGCGUGAGUGAAGAAGGUUUUCGGAUCGUAAAACUCUGUUGUUAGAGAAGAACAAGGAUGAGAAGAGAAUGUUCAUCCCUUGACGGUAUCUAACCAGAAAGCCACGGCUAACUACGUGCCAGCCGCCGCCGUAA